rnacentral:rRNA from 1 species
GACGAACGCUGGCGGCGUGCUUAACACAUGCAAGUCGAACGGAAAGGCCCUGCUUGUGUGGGGUGCUCGAGUGGCGAACGGGUGAGUAACACGUGAGUAACCUGCCCUUGACUGUGGGAUAACUUCAGGAAACUGGGGCUAAUACCGGCUAGGAGCUCCUGCUGCAUGGUGGGGGUUGGAAAGUUUCGGCGGUGGGGGAUGGACUCGCGGUUUAUUAGCUUGUUGGGGGGGGAGUGGCUUACCAAGGCUUUGGCUGGUAGCCGGCGUGGGAGGGUGAACGGCCACAUUGGGACUGAGAUACGGCCCAGUCUCCUACGGGAGGCAGCAGUGGGGAAUAUUGCACAAUGGGCGGAAGCCUGAUGCAGCAACGCCGCGUGCGGGAUGACGGCCUUCGGGUUGUAAACCGCUUUCGCCUGUGACGAAGCGUGAGUGACGGUAAUGGGUAAAGAAGCACCGGCUAACUACGUG